UUUUUAGUAUAAGUAUAUUCCAUGCAACACUUGGGAUAUACUUAUGCUAAAA
rfam:Ailuropoda melanoleuca scaffold4283_1, whole genome shotgun sequence.